ACGGGAGGCAGCAGUGGGGAAUAUUGGACAAUGGGCGCAAGCCUGAUCCAGCAAUGCCGCGUGAGUGAUGAAGGCCUUCGGGUUGUAAAGCUCUUUCGCACGCGACGAUGAUGACGGUAGCGUGAGAAGAAGCCCCGGCUAACUUCGUGCCAGCAGCCGCGGUAAUACGAAGGGGGCUAGCGUUGUUCGGAAUUACUGGGCGUAAAGGGCGCGUAGGCGGUACUUCAAGUCAGGCGUGAAAGCCCCGGGCUCAACCUGGGAACCGCGCUUGAGACUGGAGAACUCGAGUUCGGGAGAGGAUGGUGGAAUUCCCAGUGUAGAGGUGAAAUUCGUAGAUAUUGGGAAGAACACCGAUGGCGAAGGCAGCCAUCUGGACCGACACUGACGCUGAGGCGCGAAAGCGUGGGGAGCAAACAGGAUUAGAUACCCUGGUA
rnacentral:rRNA from 1 species